CUCUCCAAAAUCCCCAACUUUCCCUCCUAAAAUCCCUAAUUUCCCCCUUGAAACCCCCAACUUUACAAACAUACCGUCCUUUAAAAUUUUUAACUCCAUGCCCAUUGCUAUCUUUUCUUCCUCAACCCCAAUUCUUAAACGCCCAAAUUUGGAAAGCAAUUUUUUCUUGCUCUGCCUCCAUGAAGCAGCCAAGAGAAGUGCAAAAGCGGCUGUCUCAUCUACUCUUCCAUCUAAGUUAUUUGGGAAGAAAGAAGAUGAACUGACUCAACUGUGGCAAAUGAAAACGGUAAAGUGCCGGAUGAAUAUGAGAGUGAAGGGUCUAUUGAGGAAGCUACCUUUAUGGAGUCAGUUUCAGAUUCGAAUCCUAUUGAUGAAAAGCUACCAUUCUGAUAGGAGGAAGUAGCUCCGUUGUUUUGAAGGAUAAGGUAUGAAGACCUCAUCAUGGUGAGGGGAAAAGCACAAAUGAGGCGCAUAGAGAACAAAAGCGACGAAAUGGGCUACUUAAAAUUCUUUAACAAAUCAAAUGCUUACUCUUUAUCACUUUCCGGAAAGUCUGAGCCAAUGCACAAUGGAAAAAGGUGUUUGGGCAGCUGCACAUUUCUGACAAAAGCAGCAAAAAUGAUCUGCACCAGGCAAUUGCAGCUAAUGGCUGUGAUAUUGAGCAUGUUGCGUAUGGUUUUUUCACACAAGUGUUUGUAUUAUAUGAAGAAGAAAUUGCGGACUCUAAAGCCCAAGUGACUGCAAUUCAUAUGAUAAUUGGGACUCUCCAGAGGAUGAAUGUAUUUGGUGUUUGAGAACAGAGAUACUUUGACACACAAAGCCACAGGACUUGGCUAUUGAAGAAGGCUAAUCAGUGCAGAGCUGUUUAUGCAUGUUCCCAUCUAUUUUGGGUUGAUAAUCAGGAUGGCAUAAAGGACGACGAGAGGGUCCUCUAACAAUAAGCAAAUCACCAGUUCUGCAAUCCAAGGGCUGAUAAAAUUAAUUAAUACUGAGAUGCAAAGUGAUUCCACAAACCCUGAUAUUGUGGCGGAUGCUUUCCUUGCCAGCACCUUGCGUUACAUUCAGUUCCAAAAACAAAAAGGCGGUGUAGUGGGUGAGAAAUUCGAUUCCGUUAAACUGUAAAUUGUUGAGUCAUGUAAAGAAGUAAUGCAUGGUAGUUAGAGAUGUAAAUAGGCGUUUAUUCUGAAUUUGGAUUUCAUAUUUGCUUGAUUAUAUCUUUUAUUAAACUGUAAAUUAUUGAGUCAUGUAAAUUGUAUUAUUUCUUUUAUUACCAAGAUUUACUUGAUUAAGAAAAUGCAUUGUAUUUUUUAUU